AUACGGAGGGUGCAAGCGUUACUCGGAAUCACUGGGCGUAAAGCGCGCGCAGGCGGUCUUUUAAGUUGGAUGUGAAAGCCUACGGCUCAACCGUAGAACUGCAUCCAAAACUAUUAGACUAGAGUGUGGGAGAGGAAGAUGGAAUUAGUUGUGUAGGGGUAAAAUCCGUAGAGAUAACUAGGAAUACCAAAAGCGAAGGCGAUCUUCUGGAACAGUACUGACGCUGAGGCGCGAAAGCGUGGGGAGCAAACAGGAUUAGAAACCCCUGUAGUCC
rnacentral:rRNA from 1 species